UUCUGACGCACCACUGCACCAGGCUUGAUAAUGAGGACACUCGGCCGGGAUUGAGUUUGAACGUUAUUGUCUAAAGUAAAAUGCUUGUGCGACUGUUUCCUGGCCGAAGGAAUUAUAGUGCAAAUGUAUUCUCUGGAGCUAAACUAACAGGCGCCGCAGGGACAGCCAAAGCGGGAGGCCUUCGUGGCACUGGAAGCCUCGGAGAGCCCCCUACAGGCGGGAGGACCCGAAAAGAAAAUACUUCCGCUCAGAUGGGCGGAGCUAGGGAGCCGAGGUGGAAGUGGCUGUAAUCAGGUUUGUCAUUACAAACAACAUCGGUAUGAACCUUCUUAGAAUGCACGGAUUCAGUUACCAGAAUAUGCUUGCUAAAUAUUAUACCAACUUCAGGGACAAAGAGAGUGAUCACAGACCUGCUUAUGACAUGUGGGAUAUAUGAAAUUAGCCAAGAAUGGUAUCUUUGACAAUAAAUAACACAAAGAAGUGGAUCCUGCAAACUGGGAAAAGUUUUCAUGUGCAUUGAUUGGACAAUAAACAUCUGUGUUGGUAC